rnacentral:rRNA from 1 species
ACGGAGGGUGCAAGCGUUGUCCGGAUUUAUUGGGUUUAAAGGGUGCGCAGGUGGUUUAUUAAGUCAGUGGUGAAAGACGGUCGCUCAACGAUUGCAGUGCCAUUGAUACUGGUAGACUUGAGUAAAGUAGAGGUGGGCGGAAUUGAUAGUGUAGCGGUGAAAUGCAUAGAUAUUAUCAAGAACUCCAAUUGCGUAGGCAGCUCACUUGGCUUUUACUGACACUCAUGCACGAAAGUGUGGGUAUCAAACAGGAUUAGAUACCCUGGUAGUCCACACUGUAAACGAUGAUAACUAGGUGUCGGCCGAAUCUGGUCGGUGCCACAGCGAAAGCGUUAAGUUAUCCACCUGGGGAGUACGCCGGCAACGGUG